CCUGACGCGGUUCAUCAUCACGAGCUGCAGUGAUACAAGGAAAUAAUAGGAAAUCAUGAACUAAUUUUGUCAGUGGGGAACAUACAAGAGUCGUUACCAAGAUUAUGUAGAGGACGAAAUACAAUUUAUUACAUGUCCAACAUCCAAACAGUGUCUGGAUUAAUGCAAGCAAUGGAUGAAGGGCCUGUAGCCGAACUCAUGUCCAGUUGAAUAUAACUGUGGUAGACCAACUACCACGUGUUCGUCUGCAGAAGGGUGUACAUACCGCCACCUACCGGACUGGAGCGUGGACGUCAACGAUAGAGGGAAUUCAUCAAUACAUACAUCAGUGAUAAAACACACAGUUAUAUUUCUGUGUAAGAUGAGGGACAUAAAUGCAGCAGAGGUGACACUGAUUUACAGCCACUGGGAAGUCUUUAUCGUAAUUC